GUCGAGGGGCAUCAGGGAUUAGCAAUAAUCCGCUGGCGACCGGCGCACGGGUGAGUAACACGUAUUCAACCUUCCGAUAACUCGGGGAUAGCCUUUCGAAAGAAAGAUUAAUACUCGAUAGUAUAUUUUCUUCGCAUGUUGAAAAUAUUAAAGAAUUUCGGUUAUCGAUGGGAAUGCGUUCCAUUAGGCAGUUGGCGGGGUAACGGCCCACCAAACCUACGAUGGAUAGGGGUUCUGAGAGGAAGGUCCCCCACAUUGGAACUGAGACACGGUCCAAACUCCUACGGGAGGCAGCAGUGAGGAAUAUUGGUCAAUGGACGCAAGUCUGAACCAGCCAAGUAGCGUGAAGGAUGACUGCCCUAUGGGUUGUAAACUUCUUUUAUAUGGGAAUAAAGUGCGCCACGUGUGGUGUUUUGUAUGUACCAUUAUGAAUAAGCAUCGGCUAACUCCGUGCCAGCAGCCGCGGUAAUACGGAGGGUGCGAGCGUUAAUCGGAAUUACUGGGCGUAAAGCGCGCGUAGGUGGUUUGGUAAGUCAGAUGUGAAAGCCCCGGGCUUAACCUGGGAAUUGCUUCUGAUACUGCUGGACUAGAGUACGGUAG
rnacentral:rRNA from 1 species